GACGAACGCUGGCGGCGUGCUUAACACAUGCAAGUCGAACGGUAAGGCCCUUCGGGGUACACGAGUGGCGAACGGGUGAGUAACACGUGGGUGAUCUGCCCUGCACUUCGGGAUAAGCCUGGGAAACUGGGUCUAAUACCGGAUAGGACCCUGGGAUGCAUGUCCUGGGGUGGAAAGCUUUUGCGGUGGGGGAUGGGCCCGCGGCCUAUCAGCGUGUUGGUGGGGUGAUGGCCUACCAAGGCGACGACGGGUAGCCGGCCUGAGAGGGUGACCGGUCACACUGGGACUGAGAUACGGCCCAGACUCCUACGGGAGGCAGCAGUGGGGAAUAUUGCACAAUGGGCGCAAGCCUGAUGCAGCGACGCCGCGUGAGGGAUGACGGCCUUCGGGUUGUAAACCUCUUUCAGCUAUGACGAAGCGCAAGUGACGGUAGGUGCAGAAGAAGGACCGGCCAACUACGUGCCAGCAGCCGCCGCAG
rnacentral:rRNA from 1 species